UCUCCGUUGGUGAACCAGCGGAGGGAUCAUUACCAGAGUUUUACAACUCCCAACCCUUCUGUGAACCUACCUAUCGUUGCUUCGGCGGACUCGCCCCAGCGUCCGGACGGCCCCGCGCCGGCCCGCGACCUGGACCCAGGCGGCCGCCGGAGACCACACAGUCCUGUAUCCAUCGGUCUCUCUGAAUCCGCCGCAAGGCAAAACAAACGAAUCAAAACUUUCAACAAUGGAUCUCUUGGUUCUG
rnacentral:misc_RNA from 1 species